rnacentral:rRNA from 1 species
AAAACAGCCAGGAGGUUGGCUUGGAAGCAGCCAUCCUUUAAAGAGUGCGUAACAGCUCACUGGUCGAGUGAUCUUGCGCGGACAAUGUAACGGGGCUCAAGUUCAGUACCGAAGCUGCGGAUGCGACUCUUUGAGUCGCGUGGUAGCGGAGCGUCGAGCGCGCAGCGAAGCGGCGGGAUAACUCAGCCGUGGAGUGCGUUCGAGCGAGAAUGUUGGCAUGAGUAGCGAAAGAGGGGUGAGAACCCCCUCCGCCGUAUGUCCAAGGGUUCCUGGGCGAGGCCAAUCCUCCCAGGGUGAGUCGGGAGCUAAGGCGAGGCCGAGAGGCGUAGUCGAUGCACAACUGGUUGAUAUUCCAGUACCACCAUGUUCGCGACCGUUCCAAUACUUUGUGCUAAGGGGCUGUGUUGACUUCGGUUAACACGAACCGACCCACAUUGUUGCGGAAAGCUAUAGGGGGACGCAGGAAGGUAGAUGAACCCGGUGAAUGGUAGAACCGGGGUAAGCGUGUAGGAGGAGGACCAGGCAAAUCCGGGCCUCAUAUACUCUGAGACGUGAUACCGAGCCGCUUCAGGCGAAGUCAUUAAUCCUAUGCUGCCUAGAAAAGCCCAGUAGCAAGUUGACAUGGUGCCCGUACCCCAAACCAACACAGGUGGACAGGUAGAGCAUACCAAGGCGAGUGGGAUAACUAUGGUUAAGGAACUCGGCAAAUUUCCUCCGUAACUUCGGGAUAAGGAGGACCCCAGUAGCGUGACGAGACUUGCUCUCCGAGCGUGAAGGGGUGGCACAAAAUUGAGGGAAGCGACUGUUUACCAAAAACACAGCAGCGUGCUAAGCCAUAAGGCGCUGUAUACGCUGUGACUCCUGCCCGGUGCUGGAAGGUUACGGGGAUGGGUUAGUCCUUUGGGACGAAGCUCUGAACCUAAGCCCCAGUAAACGGCGGCCGUAACUAUAACGGUCCUAAGGUAGCGAAAUUCCUUGUCGGGUAAGUUCCGACCUGCACGAAUGGAGUAACGACUUCCCUACUGUCUCAACCAUAGACCCAGCGAAAUUGAAGUACGAGUAAAGAUGCUCGUUAGCUGCAGAAGGACGGAAAGACCCCGUGGACCUUUACUAUAACUUGAUGUUGUGUUUUGUCAUAUGUUGUGUAGGAUAGGUGGGAGACAAGGAAGCAUGGACGCUAGUCUGUGUGGAGUCAUCGUUGAAAUACCACCCUGCAUAUGGUGAGGCUCUAACCUAGACCCGUUAUCCGGGUUGGGGACAGCGUCAGGCGGGUAGUUUAACUGGGGCGGUUGCCUCCUAAAGGGUAACGGAGGCGCCCAAAGGUUCCCUCAGCCUGGUUGGCAAUCAGGCGUCGAGUGCAAUGGCAAAAGGGAGCUUGACUGCGAGACCUACAAGUCGAGCAGGAGCGAAAGCUGGGCAUAGUGAUCCGGCGGUUGCGUGUGGAAGCGCCGUCGCUCAACGGAUAAAAGGUACCCCGGGGAUAACAGGCUAAUCUUGCCCAAGCGUCCAUAGCGACGGCAAGGUUUGGCACCUCGAUGUCGGCUCAUCGCAUCCUGGGGCUGAAGCAGGUCCCAAGGGUUGGGCUGUUCGCCCAUUAAAGCGGUACGCGAGCUGGGUUCAGAACGUCGUGAGACAGUUCGGUCCCUAUCCUCUGUAGCCGUAGGUGAAUUGAGGAAAGCUGUCCCUAGUACC